UGCCAGCCGCCGCGGUAAUACGAAGGGGGCUAGCGUUGUUCGGAAUUACUGGGCGUAAAGCGCACGUAGGCGGACUUUUAAGUCGGAUGUGAAAUCCCCGGGCUCAACCUGGGAACUGCAUACGAUACUGGGUAGCUAGAGUAUGUUAGAGGCAAGUGGAAUUCCGGGUGUAGGGGUGAAAUCCGUAGAUAUUCGGAGGAACACCAGUGGCGAAGGCGGCUUUCUGGACCGAUACUGACGCUGAGACGCGAAAGCGUGGGGAGCAAACAGGAUUAGAUA
rnacentral:rRNA from 1 species